UGUAAGCGGGUUCUUUUGUGUGGGGGUUCUGAUGAGGGGCAGGAAGAAAGCAGAUUCACUAACUGUGCUUGUGUCUGUCCUCAGGUUUUGCUGUCCUUGCUGUUUUGGUCCUUGCUGUUGUGGUCCUUGCUGUCUUUGGUAGGUGCACUUUCAUUGACAGCUCUCUGUUGUCUGUUUCCAUGACCAUACUCUCAUUUACAAGAUGCGAUAUCCCAACUGCACUUUGAACGUCAUGUUGUGUUUUUGACUUUUCCAAAAUAGAACAACCAAUAUGAAAACAUGCUAAAUUGAAAAACCCAGAUUCUGAUUUUACCUCUGUUUUCUUCUCAGGAUGUUGGUGUUACAAGUAAGAUCACAUUUGGUCUGUAGUCUAAUUAUCCCUUUCUGUCUGUCUGUCUGCCUGUUUCUGUGGCCUUUUGUCUGUUGAGUUAUGGGUUUAUGUGUGAUUUUAAACUCUUGCGUUUUAAUCUCAGUUUUGAUCUCUUCUCUUGUCAUUCUCUCUAGUUGCCUUUCAGUUGUUCUCUCUUCUUCACCUCUUUCUUUGGAUCUUGUUUUGAACCAGUUUUACUUUCAAUGGGCGGGGUGGGUCCUCACCCACGUUGGGGUUAUUAGAUAGUGAGUGUAGUAGAGUUGGGGAAGUGGGCUUGAAUGUUGGUCCUGCCAUUUCUGACCAUUCCUCUUCUUUGGGAUUGCAGGAAAAAGAAGUCCAAAGAAGUCCACUCCGACGCAGAGGUUGUAGGGCUGAAUUCAAGGCCAGUGAGUGACACAGUAAACGACCUUCAGUCAGCGGACAGCUCAAAAGAGACAGAAGUCCUUGAUCCUGAGCCAGCAGCAGGUCCCGUCUGUAUAUCUGUGUCGCCACUGCACCCCCCUGGUUUCCCUGGGAUAGAAAGUCCAGGCCAAUGAGACCUGGCUUCAUUCACAAGGUCAAGUUUACUCAUUAUCAACAUACUAUGACCAGAGCUUGUAGCGUUUUAAUGACCUGUUGUACAUGGUCAGUAUGAAAAUCACUUGCACGACACUGGAGCUGCCAGCUUCUCCACACAGAUUUUCCUGCCUAUGAAUACCUGAUCUUCCAUUUCCUGUUACAUUUGUUGGUGUCAUUGAAGUUCAUGAAAGCCUCCUUGUAAGUCUUAUCAAAUUCUGCCAGGAUAAAGUGCCUGUAAAUCCAGAGCUCCCCAGCCUUUUCUCUGAAAUGAGGGACUGUUGAGCCAUGCACUGGUCUGUAUCAUGAAAUACUGUGCCUUUAAGUGUUCACAGAGCCUCAAGUACAGGUUAUUUAAUGCAUCACGUAAUUGUUUGAGUUAUAUGUCAGAAUGUAAAAUGAUGAAUGUUUGUACAUUUUUGAUUUUUUUUUGCUUUAAGUUUGAGUUUGUUUCUCUUGCCUAAUAAUGUACAGUCUGACCUUUUAUGAUUUUAAAGACAUCCUAUCAGAAUUCAUACAGGUACGUAUGUGUGUUUCUGGAAGUAAAUUACGUAAUAAUCUGUGUGCUUUUGUCUAGAAUGCAGAUUGUACAAUCUUUUGUCCUGUCCUUAGGUCACCAUUCUAGGACCAUUGUAGGUUCAAAGAAAAAAAUACGGAUCUAGGGGAUGGGGAACCGGGGUAGAUCUCUAAAUUCCGAGAUCAAACUUGGUCAUGCCAUGUUCUAUGCUGUUGACCUCCUUACUAUAAUGUACGUGUUGCAUUUCCUGUUGUUGCGUCUGUGGUGUGAUGAGGUUGAUCCAGCUCACAAAUUGAUGACUUUUUAAUCUCAGAGAAUAUCUGAAAGUUUUUUUUCUCAGAAUAAUAAUGUAGCCAUGCUCUACAGAGUCUGGGCAAGUCCAAAAAUGUCUUUGUAAAUUGUACAAAUUGUAAAAUUGUACUUGUUUUUUAUGCAUUGAUUUCUGUAUAUUUUCAUGCUACUGA
ensembl:lncRNA